CUUGGUCAUUUAGAGGAAGUAAAAGUCGUAACAAGGUUUCCGUAGGUGAACCUGCGGAAGGAUCAUUCAUAACGAGUGUUUAUGGCACUCUAAAAAUCCAUACCCACCUUGUGUGCAGCGUUAAGAGUCUUUUGUCUCUCUUUCAGAGGGCACGAGAUUUCUUUUAAUUAAUCUACCUUAAACCAGUUUGUCUGAAGCAUUGUAUCAUGAAUAAACAUAAUUCAAAAUACAACUUUCAACAACGGAUUUCUUGGCUCUCGCAUCGAUGAAGAACGCAGCGAAAUGCGAUACGUAAUGUGAAUUGCAGAAUUCAGUGAAUCAUCGAAUCUUUGAACGCACAUUGCGCUCUCUGGUAUUCCGGAGAGCAUGCUUGUUUGAGUAUCAGUAAAACACCCUCAGUUCUCUUUUUGAGAACUGGACUUGAGUCAUCCCAACGGCAGUUUCAAAACUGCUGGCGGGUCGCUUGAAAUGCAGGUGCGGCUGGACACAUCUUCUGAGCUAUAAGCAUUACUUAUUUAAUCCCGUUAAACGGAUUAUUUCUAUUGCUGCAGCUAACAUAAAGGUUGAUUGUCCUUGUGCCCGACCGAUGCAGGAAAACAAAGAGACAAUCUUUGUUCAACUCGAUCUCAAAUCAAGUAAGACUACCCGCUGAACUUAAGCAUAUCAAUAAGCGGAGGA
rnacentral:rRNA from 1 species